UACGUAGGGGGCUAGCGUUGUCCGGAAUCAUUGGGCGUAAAGCGCGUGUAGGCGGUCCGGUAAGUCCGCUGUGAAAGUCGGGGGCUCAACCCUCGGAUGCCGGUGGAUACUGUCGGGCUUGAGUACGGAAGAGGCGAGUGGAAUUCCAGGUGUAGCGGUGAAAUGCGUAGAUAUCUGGAGGAACACCGGUGGCGAAGGCGGCAUCCUGGACCGGCAUUGACGCUGAGGCGCGAAAGCGUGGGGAGCGAACAGG
rnacentral:rRNA from 1 species